CGGCGGACGGGUGAGUAAUGCCUAGGAAUCUGCCUGGUAGUGGGGGAUAACGUUCCGAAAGGAACGCUAAUACCGCGUACGUCCUACGGGAGAAAGCAGGGGACCUUCGGGCCUUGCGCUAUCAGAUGAGCCUAGGUCGGAUUAGCUAGUUGGUGAGGUAAUGGCUCACCAAGGCGACGAUCCGUAACUGGUCUGAGAGGAUGAUCAGUCACACUGGAACUGAGACACGGUCCAGACUCCUACGGGAGGCAGCAGUGGGGAAUAUUGGACAAUGGGCGAAAGCCUGAUCCAGCCAUGCCGCGUGUGUGAAAGAAGGUCUUCGGAUUGUAAAGCACUUUAAGUUGGGAGGAAGGGUUGUACGUUAAUACCGUGCAAUUUUUGACGUUACCGACAGAAUAAGCACCGGCUAACUUCGUGCCAGCAGCCGCGGUAAUACGAAGGGUGCAAGCGUUAAUCGGAAUUACUGGGCGUAAAGCGCGCGUAGGUGGUUCAGUAAGUUGGAAGUGAAAUCCCCGGGCUCAACCUGGGAACUGCUUUCAAAACUGCUGAGCUAGAGUACGGUAGAGGGUAGUGGAAUUUCCUGUGUAGCGGUGAAAUGCGUAGAUAUAGGAAGGAACACCAGUGGCGAAGGCGACUACCUGGACUGAUACUGACACUGAGGUGCGAAAGCGUGGGGAGCAAACAGGAUUAGAUACCCUGGUAGUCCACGCCGUAAACGAUGUCAACUAGCCGUUGGGAUCCUUGAGAUCUUAGUGCGCCA
rnacentral:rRNA from 1 species